rnacentral:rRNA from 1 species
AGAGUUUGAUCAUGGCUCAGGAUGAACGCUGGCGGCGUGCUUAAUACAUGCAAGUCGGACGGAGAUUGCAGAGAUGUAAUCUUAGUGGCGAACGGGUGAGUAACGCGUUGGUGACCUGCCCCAAAUCGUGGGAUAACAGUUCGAAAGGGCUGCUAAUACCGCAUGGAGUUAUGGUAGUUAGAGAGCCAUAACGAAAGGCGAAAGUCGAUCUGGGAGGGACCUGCGUCCCAUCAGCUAGUUGGUGAGGUAACGGCCCACCAAGGCGACGACGGGUAGGGGGCCUGAGAGGGUGAUCCCCCACACUGGCACUGAAACACGGGCCAGACACCUACGGGUGGCAGCAGUAGGGAAUAUUGCACAAUGGGCGCAAGCCUGAUGCAGCAACGCCGCGUGCACGAUGAAGGCCUUCGGGUCGUAAAGUGCUUUUCGGGGAGACGAGGAAGGACGGUAUCCCCGGAAUAAGGAUCGGCUAACUACGUGCCAGCAGCCGCGGUAAAACGUAGGAUCCGAGCGUUAUCCGAAUUCACUGGGCGUAAAGCGCGUGUAGGCGGUUCAGUAAGUUGGAUGUAAAAUCUCCUGGCUCAACUGGGAGGGGGCGUUCAAUACUGUUGGACUAGAGGACGGCAGAGGAAGGUGGAAUUCCUCGGUGUAGUGGUGAAAUGCGUAGAUAUCGGGAGGAACAUCUAGUGGCGAAGGCGGCUCUUCUGGGCCGGUCCUGACGCUCAGACGCGAAAGCUAGGAGAGCAAACGGGAUUAGAAACUCUGGGUAGUCCUAGCCGUAAACGACGUAGACUGGGUGUUGGUGGUGUAAAAAUCGUCAGUGCCGAAGCAAACGCGAUAAGUCUACCGUCUGGGGACUACGGUCGCAAGGUUAAAACUCAAAGGAAUUG